CACGUAGGGGGCGAGCGUUGUCCGGAUUUAUUGGGCGUAAAGAGCUCGUAGGCGGCUUGGUAAGUCAGGUGUGAAACCUCCAGGCUCAACCUGGAGACGCCACUUGAUACUGCCAUAGCUAGAGUCCGGUAGGGGAGCGUGGAAUUUCUGGUGUAGCGGUGAAAUGCGCAGAUAUCAGAAGGAACACCGGUGGCGAAGGCGGUUCUCUGGGAAUGUCCUGACGCUGAGGAGCGAAAGUGUGGGGAGCGAACAGG
rnacentral:rRNA from 1 species